rnacentral:rRNA from 1 species
GAUGAACGCUGGCGGCGUGCCUAAUACAUGCAAGUCGAGCGAACAGACGAGGAGCUUGCUCCUCUGACGUUAGCGGCGGACGGGUGAGUAACACGUGGAUAACCUACCUAUAAGACUGGGAUAACUUCGGGAAACCGGAGCUAAUACCGGAUAAUAUAUUGAACCGCAUGGUUCAAUAGUGAAAGACGGUUUUGCUGUCACUUAUAGAUGGAUCCGCGCCGCAUUAGCUAGUUGGUAAGGUAACGGCUUACCAAGGCGACGAUGCGUAGCCGACCUGAGAGGGUGAUCGGCCACACUGGAACUGAGACACGGUCCAGACUCCUACGGGAGGCAGCAGUAGGGAAUCUUCCGCAAUGGGCGAAAGCUUGACGGAGCAACGCCGCGUGAGUGAUGAAGGUCUUCGGAUCGUGAAACUCUGUUAUUAGGGAAGAACAAAUGUGUAAGUAACUAUGCACGUCUUGACGGUACCUAAUCAGAAAGCCACGGCUAACUACGUG